rnacentral:lncRNA from 1 species
AUUGCAGCUGCUUCCUGCUCCCUCCAUGGACCUGCACAGAAUUGUCCCAUGUUUCUGUUUGUUUGGGCACCACUGAGGAAGGAAGCAUGAAGGACGCAGAGGUCAGGCCAUUCUAUUGCCCUCCUGCUGCUGGGUCUUUAAUCCUGAGAUGGCUUCAGGGGCUGGUCCUUCUCCAUGGCCCCCUCCACAUAUCUCAGCCAUUUUGCAAACCCUGGUCAGAAUGAAACAUUCCUUGGGAACUCGGGCCAUGAGAAGCAUCCUUCCUGACCACCUGACUGCGGAAACAUCCUUAUCGCAUCCUCCCGGGCGAAGGCCCAACAGCCUGA